GUGCCAGCAGCCGCGGUAAGACGGAGGGUGCUAGCGUUGUUCGGAAUCACUGGGCGUAAAGGGCGCGUAGGCGGCCCUGGCAGUCGGCUUGUGAAAGCCCGGGGCUCAACCCCGGAGGUGCGGCCGAAACACCAGGGCUGGAGGCCGGAAGAGGAGGGUGGAAUACCCAGUGUAGAGGUGAAAUUCGUAGAUAUUGGGUGGAACACCGGUGGCGAAAGCGGCUCUCUGGUCCGGACCUGACGCUGAGGCGCGAAAGCGUGGGGAGCAAACAGGAUUAGAUACCCUUGUAGUCC
rnacentral:rRNA from 1 species